GCCACGAGCAGAAGAUCCCAGAUACUGAAGAUAUUUCUCCUCAUUAAACUAACUUAGUCAGAGGUAUACAGCCAUGUGCCGUGUUUAAUCCGACCCAGGAGGAGUCUGACGCUGAUUUGAGGCUGCAUAAAACGUUAAUCACGUCGGCAUACUCCCUCUAAUCUGCAGAGAGCCUUAACGUCGCUCGGUAGUGGAGCCCACGGGAAAUCGGUCAGGUCUUUAAGUUGAGUGAGAAGAUCCAUGAAGACGGUCCAGAAGAUUCCAGUAGAUUGCGAGCCACCCAGCUUGAUCUCAGGACCAGCAUCUACAUUUCCGGUGAAAUAGCAGAUGAACUAUCUGCUUUGUGGUAGGAUCGUGCCAUUCGCCUGGAUUGGUACCUACUCAAACUCAUAUUAGAAAGAGUGCACUCCAACGAUACUUUAGAUCCCGUGGAUUCCUUACAUUUUUAAACUCACAGAUCAAAGUCCAAUUGAUCUGAACUGACUUGGACAUUGGCCAAAUACUGACUUUAAAGCGCUUCCAAAGUGGAAAACUCCCACAAAGAUACUUUAUUUUCUUUAAAGGGGCCCAGUUUGUUAUUUUUCUUAUAAAUGUAUUGUGUUUUAUAUGGUAUAGUUGUCUAAAUGGCACAGUAAAGUUGCAGUUUACUGCUAUAUCUUGUGUUGUGGUAAUUAUUACACUCUAACCUUGCUCCUUAUGAACCUAGAGAUACCUGUAUAUUCCAGGAUUGGGUUACAUGGUUACAGAUGGCAAUCACCUGUCAAUCAAAUAUGCAUAAAUUUAAGUCUUAAUAACAUUUAAACAGGUGAAUAAUAUAAGAAUUCACUCCUGUACAGUUGUCAUGAACAGAAAAAUGCGCUAUAAAGACCAAAGCUGUUUUUUUG